rnacentral:rRNA from 1 species
GCAUAUCAAUAAGCGGAGGAAAAGAAACCAACAGGGAUUACCUCAGUAACGGCGAGUGAAGCGGUAAAAGCUCAAAUUUGAAAUCUUCGGAAUUGUAAUUUGAUGGAUAAAAUUGCCACGGACAAAAGUUCACUGGAAAGUGACGCCGUAGAGGGUGAUAGCCCCGUUUACGUCCAACGGCACUAUAAUUUUAUUCCAAAGAGUCGGGUUGUUUGGGAAUGCAGCUCAAAGUGGGUGGUAAAUUCCAUCUAAAGCUAAAUAUUGACGAGAGACCGAUAGCGAACAAGUACAGUGAUGGAAAGAUGAAAAGAACUUUGAAAAGAGAGUGAAACAGUACGUGAAAUUGUUGAAAGGGAAGGGGAGGGAAGAUGUUAAAGGGAGUCCUUCGCAGUAGGGAUCCCCCCCAAGAGUCUUUCCUCUCGCCCGUCUUGAAACACGGA